rnacentral:rRNA from 1 species
UACGUAGGGCGCAAGCGUUAUCCGGAAUUAUUGGGCGUAAAGAGCUUGUAGGCAGUUUGUCGCGUCUGCUGUGAAAAUCCGGGGCUCAACCCCGGACUUGCAGUGGGUACGGGCAGACUAGAGUGUGGUAGGGGAGACUGGAAUUCCUGGUGUAGCGGUGAAAUGCGCAGAUAUCAGGAGGAACACCGAUGGCGAAGGCAGGUCUCUGGGCCACUACUGACGCUGAGAAGCGAAAGCAUGGGGAGCGAACAGG